UCCGUAACACGUGGCCAAACCACCCUACAGAGAACAAUAACCUCGGGAAACUGAGGCUAAUAGUUCAUACCCGUCUUACGCUGGAAUGCCAAGACGCGCAAACGUUCCGACGCUGUAGGACGUGGCUGCGCCCGAUUAGGUUGACGGUGGGGUAACGGCCCACCGUGCCGAUAAUCGGUACGGGUUGUGAGAGCAAGAACCCGGAGACGGAAUCUGAGACAAGAUUCCGGGCCCUACGGGGCGCAGCAGGCGCGAAACCUUUACACUGCACGCAAGUGCGAUAAGGGGACCCCGAGUGCGAGGGCAUACAGUCCUCGCUUUUCAGUACCGUAGGGAGGUACUGGAAUAAGAGCUGGGCAAGACCGGUGCCAGCCGCCGCGGUAAUACCGGCAGCUCGAGUGAUGGCCGAUCUUAUUGGGCCUAAAGCGUUCGUAGCCGGCCACGCAAGUUCAUCGGGAAAUCCGCCAGCCUAACUGGCGGGCGUCCGGUGAAAACUGCGUGGCUUGGGACCGGAAGACCCGAAGGGUACGUCUUGGGUAGGAGUGAAAUCCCGUAAUCCUGGACGGACCGCCGAUGGCGAAAGCACUUCGGGAAGACGGAUCCGACGGUGAGGAACGAAAGCCAGGGUCUCGAACCGGAUUAGAUACCCGGGUAGUCCUGGCCGUAAACGAUGUCUGCUAGGUGCGACCCCCACUACGAGUGGAUGUUGUGCCGUAGGGAAGCCGCUAAGCAGACCGCCUGGGAAGUACGUCCGCAAGGAUGAAACUUAAAGGAAUUGGCGGGGGAGCACUACAACCGGAGGAGCCUGCGGUUUAAUUGGACUCAACGCCGGACAUCUCACCAGCAUCGACAGCAACAAUGACGACCAGGUUGAUGACCUUGUCAGAGCUGCUGAGAGGAGGUGCAUGGCCGCCGUCAGCUCGUACCGUGAGGCGUCCUGUUAAGUCAGGCAACGAGCGAGACCCGCACUCCUAAUUGCCAGCACCGGGUUCGCCCGGGUGGGUACAUUAGGAGGACUGCCGUGGCUAACACGGAGGAAGGAACGGGCAACGGUAGGUCAGUAUGCCCCGAAUGUGCUGGGAUACACGCGG
rnacentral:rRNA from 1 species